rnacentral:rRNA from 1 species
UACGUAGGGGGCAAGCGUUGUCCGGAUUUAUUGGGCGUAAAGAGCUCGUAGGCGGCUUGUUGCGUCGACCGUGAAAACCCGGGGCUCAACUUCGGGCUUGCGGUCGAUACGGGCGGGCUAGAGUUCGGUAGGGGAGACUGGAAUUCCUGGUGUAGCGGUGAAAUGCGCAGAUAUCAGGAGGAACACCCGUGGCGAAGGCGGCUCUCUGGGACGGUACUGACGCUGAGACGCGAAAGCGUGGGGAGCGAACAGG